ACUAUCCAUCCAUCCAGCCAGAUGGGGUUAGGCGGAAGGAACACAUCAUGCAUGUCAAUGCCAUCCCCUUUUGUCACCUUUCUGUUUCUAAACUAAUGGCGUCCCAUCAUGAAGUAUUAAUGGUGUCUGCUCUCUCGGUUCUACUGGGAUUUUUAUUGGUGCUCGUUCAUGCCCAAAUUCCUACCACUCUCGAUGGCCCCUUCACCCCCGUCACUGUUCCUCUCGACAAGUCCUUCCGCGGCCACGCCGUAGACUUGCUACACACCGAUCCUCGGCUGCAGAGAACAGUCAAAGGGUUUGAGCCUGAGCAAAUAUCAGUUUCCCUCUCUUCCACUUACGAUUCUGUUUGGAUAUCUUGGAUCACUGGGGACUUCCAGAUUGGGAACAACAUUAAGCCACUGAAUCCGGAUACUGUUGCAAGUGUUGUUCGAUAUGGGAGGUUACAUUUUGCAUUGAUUCACCAAGCAACUGGUCACUCUCUCAUAUACACUCAACUUUACCCUUUUGAAGGUCUUCAGAACUACACUUCUGGAAUCAUACACCAUGUCCGUCUCACUGGCUUGCAGCCUGACACAGUUUAUUAUUACCAAUGUGGGGAUCCUUCUAUACGAGCAACAAGUGAUGUGUUGUAUUUCAGAACAAUGCCUGUUUCUGCUCCCAGAAGUUAUCCAAACAGAAUAGCAGUGACGGGAGACCUGGGUCUCACAUAUAAUACGACUUCAACAAUCAGCCACUUGAGGAGCAACUAUCCCGAUCUUGUUCUACUGGUUGGCGACGUUUCUUAUGCUAACUUGUAUCUCACAAAUGGCACGGGGGCUGACUGCUACUCUUGCUCUUUUUCACAAACUCCCAUUCAUGAGACCUAUCAGCCUCGUUGGGAUUACUGGGGCAGGUUUAUGCAGCCUCUGGUAUCUAAAGUUCCAAUAAUGGUGGUAGAAGGAAACCAUGAAAUAGAACUACAGGCAGAAAACAAGACAUUUGUGGCUUACAGUUCUCGAUUUGCAUUCCCAUCUGAGGAAAGCGGAUCUUCAUCCACAUUCUAUUAUUCUUUCAAUGCCGGAGGCAUACAUUUCAUAAUGCUCGGGGCCUACAUUGCUUACAAUAAAUCGGCCGAUCAGUACAAGUGGUUGGAGAGAGACCUCGCAAAAGUUGACAGAGAAAUGACUCCAUGGUUGAUAGCUACGUGGCAUCCACCUUGGUACAAUAGCUACAAGGCACAUUACAGAGAGGCAGAGUGUAUGAGAGUGGCAAUGGAAGAACUACUCUACGAAUAUGGUGUCGAUCUGGUCUUUAAUGGACAUACCAACAGGUUCAUGCAUAUGAGAGGUCCAACAGAGUAUAUAACUAUACCUUGGAUCCCUGUGCUCCUGUUUAUAUCACAAUUGGUGAUGGUGGCAACCGAGAGAAGAUGGCAAUCCCACAUGCAGAUGCACCCGGUAAUUGUCCAGACCCAUCCUCCACGCCCGAUGAUUACAUGGGUGGAUUCUGCGCGUACAAUUUUACAUCCGGCCCAUCAGCAGGCAAGUUUUGUUGGGAUCGGCAGCCUGAUUAUAGUGCAUACAGGGAAAGUAGCUUUGGCCAUGGGAUUCUAGAGGUGAAAAAUGAAACUCACGCUUUGUGGACUUGGCACCGGAACCAGGACAUGUACAAUAUGUCUGGAGAUCAGAUUUACAUCGUUCGACAACCUGAAAGGUGCCUGGUGGAAGGCAAGGUUAAAACGUCUCCAUAAGAGUCAAGCUCAUGGAUAAUGCAUUUGAAAGACGACAAGCCGUACAGAAGAUGCAUAUUCUGAAGCAGAUAAUAAACACGGGGGGUUGCGUUUGAUUGUUGCAACCAUUACCCUGUAGUCUAAACUAAUGGAAUUGUUGUAACCAUUACCCUGAAGUCUAAACUAAUGGAAACUAGAAAAAAAAAAAAAAAUCCCAGCUGAAAUACAGAACCGUCGACGUUUUGUUUUAAUAAUUGAAUUCUGUUGAGCUGUGCAACUUGUGUUGCUAUAUUUGUGUUGAAAAAGAUACAAAAAAUUUCUUUAAUAGCUAGUUAAUCUCUUUUGAAUUUUAA